GGGAGCCUUCUCUUCUUGUAAUUGCUUAAAGAAAGCUGGAAUUGUGCCGGGGAGUUGCUCAGGAAGAUAGUGUGCAAAAGGGAUGGAAGAGAACGCUGGACUCUCAUUCUCCGAGUGCUGCUAAGCUCAGGACUCUUGAUCCCGGAGAUGAGGACAGGAUCCCAUGGGGCAGCCGCACUUCUCCAGACCGGUCAAUCC